UACGAAGGGGGCUAGCGUUGCUCGGAAUCACUGGGCGUAAAGGGUGCGUAGGCGGGUCUUUAAGUCAGGGGUGAAAUCCUGGAGCUCAACUCCAGAACUGCCUUUGAUACUGAAGAUCUUGAGUUCGGGAGAGGUGAGUGGAACUGCGAGUGUAGAGGUGAAAAUUCGUAGAUAUUCGCAAGAACACCAGUGGCGAAGGCGGCUCACUGGCCCGAUACUGACGCUGAGGCACGAAAGCGUGGGGAAGCAAACAGGGAUAGAAACCCUUUGUAACGU
rnacentral:rRNA from 1 species